rnacentral:autocatalytically_spliced_intron from 1 species
AACCGCCCGGUGCGGACCCGCAUGCCGGGUGGUGUGGGAGGGGCUCCGUCGACAAUGACGGACCCCUAUCCCGAU